GUUACAGGUCAGUGGUAGAGCAUUUACCCAGCAUGCAUAAGGCCCUGGGUUCAAUCCCCAGUACACA
rnacentral:tRNA from 1 species